UUGAUAUGCUUUGCAAUCUUUUGGCUGUGGAUUGUUACAGUAAUAUAUUUUCUUUACUUGACAAGAAUUCCUUCGAACAUGGAACGGUUUUUCACUUGCAUAAUGGACAUUUAUUUCCUUGACGAUGACAAUAACAGAAUCACGGAAGUAUUAAUGUCCAUAUCGAGAGGCGAAGUGGGAUUCAGAAGCAACAAUUUCUUUUUCUUCGACAAGCAAGCGGUUUUAAGUGUAAGUUUAAUAUCUCAUAUACUAUUUUAUAAUACGGUAUAUAUUGUUUCUACUAUUGUUUAAAUAUUGAUAUAAUAUUUUCUAUAAAAGUGUAUUUUGUUUCAGUACACUGUCGAAUUCAUCACACAAUUAAUUGCAUUUUCGAUAAUAAGAAGUAAAUCCACCACAAAUUAGUAGGUAUCCACCGGAUAUUUGACUGAUUCAAUUGACAGAUAAUAAUUGAAAAAUUCAGUUCGAUGCACUACGUCAACUGCAGCAAUAUUGCAGAUUUUGAAAUUAGACGUGAUGUUCAUAUUGUGAAAUCAACAGUGAUUUUACGUCAUCAUUUUCAAUGCCCGUAUGCGGAGAGAGUUGAGGCUGGAGUAGAUUUUCAACGGCUUCGUCUACUGCAAAGGAAUUCAAACGUUAAGUUGAUUGUAAGAAAGUUCUUUGUUAAUUAUUAUGGAUUCAUCAAAAUGCAAAGAUGCAUUUUACUGUGAAAGAAGAAACUGGGAUGUUUUUAUGAGUUACGACAACGCAAUUUUUCCGCGCAUUUAGAGUUUC